rnacentral:rRNA from 1 species
UACAGAGGUGGCAAGCGUUGUUCGGAAUUACUGGGCGUAAAGGGCGCGUAGGCGGCCUCCUAAGUCAGACGUGAAAUCCCCCCGGCUUAACCUGGGAACUGCGUCUGAUACUGGGAGGCUAGAGUGCGGGAGAGGGAUGCGGAAUUCCAGGUGUAGCGGUGAAAUGCGUAGAUAUCUGGAGGAACACCGGUGGCGAAGGCGGCAUCCUGGACCGACACUGACGCUGAGGCGCGAAAGCUAGGGUAGCAAACGGG